rnacentral:piRNA from 1 species
UGGAAGCCAAAGUAGGUUGUCAGAUCUGAA